rnacentral:rRNA from 1 species
CCAUGAUAAACGAUGUGCAAGGGCCGGAAACCUGCAAUACCUACAAUAUGCUCCGCCUUACUAAAAUGCUUUAUCAGAACUCUCAUAAUCCCUGCAAUAUAAAUGAACCCGACCCCAACUACAUCAACUAUUACGAACGUGCGGUUACUAGCACUUAUGUGUUAGAGCUAACGCAGGGAACUGAAACAUCUUAGUACCUGCAGGAAGAGAAAAUAAAUUAAUGAUUCCCCCAGUAGUGGCGAGCGAACGGGGAACAGCCCAAACCAGUGGCGUCGCAAGGCGUGGCUGGGGUUGUAGGACCGCGACAUUGUAUUGAAAUGGUGAGUGGAAGUAUCUGGAAAGUUACAUCACAGAAGGUGAUAAUCCUGUACACGAAGCCAGAUCAGGCAUAGCGGUAUCCUGAGUAACGCGGGACACGAGGAAUCCUGCGCGAAUCUGCCGGGACCAUCCGGUAAGGCUAAAUACUCCCGUGAGACCGAUAGCGAACGAGUACUGUGAAGGAAAGGUGAAAAGAACCCCGAGCAGGGGAGUGAAAUAGUUCCUGAAACCAUACGCCUACAAGCGGUCGGAGCAUCUUACGAUGUGACGGCGUGCCUUUUGCAUAAUGAUCCUACGAGUUACCGUCACUGGCGAGGUUGAGUGUCACGAGACACGUAGCCGCAGUGAAAGCGAGCCUGAAGAGGGCGCACAGUCAGUGGGGGUAGACGCGAAACCAAGUGAUCUACACUUGGCCAGGAUGAAGUCCCGGUAACACGGGAUGGAGGUCCGCACCAAUAAGCGUUGAAAAGCUUCUGGAUGAGCCGAGUGUAGGAGUGAAAGGCCAAUCAAACUUGGAGAUAGCUCGUACUCCCCGAAAGGCAUUUAGGUGCCGCGUCGGAUGGUCACCGUGAGAGGUAGAGCGACCGAUAGGACAAGAGGGCUUCACCGCCUAUCGAGUCCUGACGAACUCCGAAUGCUCACGGUUUGCAGUCCGGCAGUAAGGGGGCGGGUGCUAAGGUCCGUCCCCGAGAGGAGAAGAAUCCAGACCGCCGUCUAAGGUCCCGGAGUUCUGCCUGAGUUAGUCUAACGAAGUCUGGUCCCUAUGACAGCUAGGAUGUUGGCUUGGAAGCAGCCAUUCAUUCAAAGAGUGCGUAACAGCUCACUAGUCGAGGGUCCGGGCAUGGAUAAUAAUCGGGUAUAAGGCAGACACCGAAGGCGCGGGAUAGCAAUUUUAAAAGUAUCGGUAGGGGAGCAUACUCACAGCGUCGAAUGGUGUACGUAAGUUAUCCUGGAGCGGUGAGUAAAGCAAAUGUAGGAAUAAGUAACGAUAAGGAGGGUUAGAUUCCCUCCCGCUGUAAGACCAAGGUUUCCCGGGCAAUGCCAAUCAGCCCGGGGUCAGUCGGGUCCUAAGUCUAAGCCGAACGGCGAUGGCGAUGGCAGAGACGGUUAAUAUUCCGUCACUGCCGCAUGGGGCGACGUGGAGACGGAGCAGUGAAACCACCGCGGGGCGACGGAAGUCCCCGUUGAAGAGUGUAGGUGUUGAGGAUGGCAGGCAAAUCCACCAUCCGAGCUGAACUUGACAGUAUGGAGUCUUCUCCGGAAGAAUCCAAUAGUGUGGGUAAUCAUACUCCCGAGAAAAUCCGCUAAGCUUAACCCAUGCGGCACCCGUACCGUAAACGGACACACGUGGUCGGGUAGAACAUACUAAGGCGUUGAGAGAUUCAUGGUUAAGGAACUAGGCAAAUUGACCCUGUAACUUCGGGAUAAAGGGUCCUCGUGAUGAGCGAGGCGCAGAGAAUAGGUCCAGGCAACUGUUUAACAAAAACACAGGGCUGUGCAAACUCGAAAGAUGAGGUAUACAGCCUGACACCUGCCCGGUGCCGGAAGGUUAAGAGGAGAUGUCACUCUUUGGGAGGAAGCAUUGAAUUGAAGCCCCGGUAAACGGCGGCCGUAACUAUAACGGUCCUAAGGUAGCGAAAUUCCUUGUCGGGU